UUGUUUGUUUGUUUGUGGGGGGGCAUUCAUUUUAGUUUGUUCUGCUUUGAUAUGUUAUUUUCACUUUCAGGUCUGGACUGUCUUCUUCAUUUUCUUUCACUGUUUGUAAUUUUAUACAUUUAAGGGAUUUAUUAACUUCCUCUUUAAAAAAUUCUAUCAUAUACAUGAAGGCUACAUUAGGUUCUUUGUCUUGUGCUUCAGGAAUGUGGCAGUUCUCAGGGACUACUAUGAUAAGAUUCCCUUGUCCUGGGUAUUAUUGAUUCUGUUUUUAGAGUGGUACCUGGGUUUGGGAAGAUUGUAGAUACCUGGUCUUGUCUUUGUUGCUUGGAUGUUUUGUUCCUUGAUUUCUGUUACCCUCUUUAGUUCCUAGGAAUGUAUAAAAUUUUUGGAUUCCUGAUAAUUGUGGCCACUGGAAUUUCCCUGUAAAAUGUGCUUUUAGAUACUGGGUACUGAUAUUUACUAAUGGGAAUUGUUGGGGCUUCUGACAAGGUCCACAGGAAAGAGGGAAGUAGAGUGUUCAACUAAGAUCUGGGAAUAGAAGUAGAGAGUGAGGAAAGGUUAAAAAAAGUAGUGGGUUGGAGAGUUGAGGAUGAGCUUGGGGAACUACAUAUGGCAGCUAUCAAAGAUCUGAAGCUUAUGUGCCUGCUUUGCUGACUUACUUUUGCUUCUCUUGCAGGCUUGACUGGUAGGUUUCUAUGGAAUGCCUGCUGGAUUCAGGGGCUGGGAUAUCAAUAUGACUGGGGAGGAAAGUUAGAGACGUUCUACAUGAUCAACUGGAGAUGGGGACACAGAGGAUAGUGAAGCUACAGAAGGUGGUUUGCCAACGAGUUGGUGAUGAAGCUGGGGGAUUGGAUGUAGAGAAGAUGAGGAAGAGUUAAAGAUCAGAAGUUAGGUUACUUGGUUUUCUGGCACAAGUUCCCAUAGGUUCCCAGGAAAUGCCAGCUGGAGAUGGGGGCUGGGAUAAGCUAUUUGUUGGUGGUGGUGCUAUGGUGGGGUGAUUUUUUUUGGAAUAAAGAUAUCUGUGAUCCACUGAAGGUAUAGGAGGAAGAAAAGUUGCAGCAGGUGGUCUGCUACAAAAGUAGAUAUAAGACUGGAGGGGUGGAUAUGGCAAAGAGGGAGAAGAGGUGAAAAUCUGGAGUUACCUGCUUUCCAGUUGGGAACUGGGAUAAUGGGAUGAGUUGGGGGAAGAAAGUUUGGAGGGAAGAUCUUUGUGAUCCACUGUAGUUAGGGGCAGAGAGGAGAGGCGGGUCAUAGCAGAUGGUCUGUUACAGAGCUGCAGAUGAGACUAGGGGGUUAAAUUUGGAGGAGAGGAGAGAAUGAUGAAGAUCUGCAGCUACACUACCUGCUUUCUUGGACAAGGUCCAAUGCAUUAAAAAAAUACUUUAUUCCAAAUUUAGGCUAGUUGACUAUAAAGCAGACGAAUCAAUUUUCCAAUAUAAUUACAUCUUCACCUUUUUUCCAUUUCAGGCUGUGAUUUCACACUUGUUAAUUAGUUAAUCAUUUUGGGAGAGUGGACAAGGUCUGAAAACUAUUCUUGUGGGUUGAUAUCCCAGGAACCAAGCAAAAACUAAUUCACAGAAUUUCUACAACAAUGUAUGCAAUAUAAAUUAUUACUGGCACAAUAUUCUGAUUAUCUACGAUGUCUAGGAAAGAGAUACAGAAUGUAUAUUCUUCCUAAAACCAUUAUUAAGACACGUCUGCCAUGAAGAACUGUGAAUCAAUGAAAGAUGAUGAUGAUAGUGAUGAUAAUGACGCCAGUAUAUUGGCAUGUUCUAGUACGCUUUAACUGUCAACUUGACAUGGGUUGAAGUCGCCUGAUCGGGAGUCUCGAUUUCAGUUCAGAAUUGCCUAUGGACAUUGUUGUGAUUCAGAUUCCAGACAAGCAACUGAGGUGCCUAUUCCACAUGUCCAAGUGGGCCUGGCCUCCAGGUUCUCCCAGAAUCCCUCAGGCUCUACCUUAACUUUCUAGCCCAGGGCCUAGGCCUUCUCUCCCCCUAGAGGCUAUUUACUUUAUAAUCCAGAUAUCUUGGUUUUGUCUUUCUUUCUAUCUGUCUGUUGUCUCUCUGUCCAUCUGUCCUCUCUCUCUCUCUCUCUCUCUCUCUCUCUCUCUCUCUCUCUCUCUCUCCCCUCUUUCUCUCUCUGCUGUCUGAUUUUCUGUCUCCCAGUCUGCACAGUAACUUCCCUAACGUCCUCCUGUGAGAUAUCUGAACCCACCCGAGAGCUGUUUCCAAUUAAACCUGCCUUUAUAUACUUUGAAUUGGCUCAUUUCAUUGGCAGAGAAUACUUAUCAGGCAUAACCACGGGUGACAGUCAUGACUGUUAAUUUAUGUAGGAGGUCCAAGCCUACUGUCGGUGGCACCAGUCCCUGGGUAGACGGUCUCCUGAGUUGCAUAAGAAAGCUAGCUAAGUGUUUCUAAUUUAGUAUUUUUGUAGGGUUUUGUGAAUGUAUAAGUUUUGUGUUUUGUUUAUUCAUUUUUUCUUUGGUUGUUUUGUUUUGCUUGAUUGUUUUCUAAAGAGUAGCUUUGGAUGGAGUUAUUUCCAAUUCUUUGCAUUUGCAAAUAGAACAAUCAUGAACAUUUAGAAACCAUUGGACAUUGCUUUAGUCUCUCUGUUACUAAAUAAAGAAGGAUAGACUUAA